CAGGGGUCUCUUGAACACAAGCGCUGUGGCACUGUGGUACUGUGGCACUCUGGCAGUCCCUCCUGUCUGGUGACCAAGCCAGCUACUAGGUGACUAGAUGGUGAGCCGUGUACACAGCGUGGACAUGCUAGACAAUGGCGUGACUCACAUCCUGUGUGGGACGCAGCAGGAUGAUGGGGAUGACCGUGAAGCUGGCAGAUGCGUGGCUGCAAAGAACUCGCCAAGAUGGGACCCUGAGAGACCCCUGGAGCCUCCAGAGCACAGGCCGAGGGCAACAGCUGACGGGCAGAAAGGUUCUUACAGAUGUGUGACACUCUGGAGGGAGUAUCCCAAGCAGGUGGUGGAGGACACACAAGGGCUUCUCUGGCAGAGCCAGAGACGAAUCUGCUGGAGAACGUGAGAGACUAGGGGAUUGUGGUACAUCAUGGCAAGAAGACCCAGCAGCUGCUGUGUGAGACGGCUAAGUACACUGUACUCACAGUCAGGGAGCAAAGAAAGAAUGUUGGUGCUCAGUGCGCUCGCUCUCUCUCUCUCUCUCUCUCUCUCUCUCUCUCUCUCCCCUCCUUCCCUCCCUUCCCUCUCCCUUCCCUCCCCCUUCUCCUCUCCCUCUCUCCCUUUCCCUUUUUCAUCCCAUCCAUGGAACAGUGACACUUACAUUCAUGGUAGGUCUCCCCUACUCAGCUAAACCUUUCUGGAAACAGCCCCUGCUCCUGUAGGCAAAGAUGUGUCUCCUAGGUGAUUCCUAGUCCAGUCACAUUGACAGUGAAGCUCAAUCAUCAAAGUCCACCUCUUGUCAACCAGAACACUUUAAAUCAUGACACUAUACAACCUUGACCCUCAAAGGGUCAAGUCUGGUCAUCUCACAGUGUACUGAGUUCAUCUGUAAAAGUCUCCCAAAUCAUAACAUUUUUAACAUUACUUAAAUGUUGUUUAAUGUAACUUAAUUACAUGUAUUUAAUGUAUUGAUUUUAAUUAAAAUUAAUAAUUUAAACAUUAUUUAAAUGUUAGAUUUAAAUUAUGCCCAUGCCUAUGAUCCCAGCAUUUUGAAGUUUAAGGCCAUCUUUGGCUACUCGCUGAGUUUAGGGCCGUUCUGAGCAAUAUAAAACUCUCUCAUUGUACAAUGGCAGAAUAAACAUUCAUUUUCUGAAGGAGAGGAGCUCAGGCAUAGCAAGGGAAGAUGGGAUUGAAAAGACCAAGUUUCAACAGGGGAAACCCAAAGUUUCAUAUCUGGCCUCUUUGGUGGCUUCAUCUGAGUCCCACAGGGCUUGGGCAGCCCACCCUCCGGUUCCACUGUCCCCAGCACACACGCCUUCUCUCUUCUCUCUUGGGCCAGCUUCAUUUCUUGGCCAUCCCAUGCCCUGGCAUCUCCAAUCAUGGGGCCUUUACAUCUUAGACUUUAUCUCCUUAGCCUCAUGCAAUGGCCUCUCUGGUGUCUUCGGGGAAGUUCUUCAGAGAUAUCCUCAGACCGGGUCCUUCCUUUCUAGUGUUCCACAGGUUGGUGUCUUCAAUCGGAGUUGUCUCAUUUGUGGGGUGUCCACCAGAGAAGACUGCUUGGACAUGGUCUAAGCUACUAGGAAGUCUUUUUAGCCGCUAGUGACUAUGCUGGGUGUUUGGGAUCAUAUUUAGCCCCGAACCUUUCUCAGGGUGAAAAUUUAAAGCACAGAAACCAUGCUGAGUUAAUACACUUCAGUCAACAAGCGCAGUCAGCCAGGAGCAGGACUACAGAAGCCAAAAAGCAAGGUUAGGGCAUUUACAGAUGCUUUUUUUUUUCCUUCUUUUUUCCUAGGUCUUUGUUUUGGAUAUGUCAGGUGAUGUUGUCUACACGCUGAGUUUUAUGGCUUGAAUAACACUUCCAUUAUGGAGUCAGCUGUGCUAAGGUCUGGGAGCCUGUUACAGUCUUACCCUCGGGGCAUCCUUCCUGUUGUUCCAGCCCAGAGAGCAAGAUUUCCUUUUUUCUGAAGGUGUACUUUCUGUAACUAUUAUAGCUGCUUCUGCUUCCGCCACACUCGCCUCAACACAACUUUGAAUUUGCCUGUGCUCCUUCCUGGACAAAUCACCCAUUUUCCAUAUCCUUCUGCUUCGAAGUCUCAUUACAAACCUCACUAAACAUAACAGCAAUAGCCACACCAUAAUCAUAACCCAAAUGCUAGACGUAUUGAAAAUUUCCCUGCCAAAUAGCGGUCCACUGCCUUUAAAUUCAGCCUCACUUAAGUUCUCAGAGCAUGAGCCAACUCCAGGCGUCUCUUUGCCAGAAGGCAGCAAUAAUGGCCCCCAGCCCAAUUCCCACUAAGAGUCCUUAUUCCUUUCCAAAACCUCAGGAGUACAGUCUUUAUGAUCCUCACUUCAGAUUGCUGGUUUUCUAAACUCCCACCAGGAUGGCCCAUCGGAUUCUGCUUAAAGCAUUCUGGGGCUUCUGUAGCCUAGAGGGAGGGGAUGCUUUCACAUGCCCUUUCUUCCCAUCAGUUACUUCCAAAGUCAUGAAGACGACAUGGCCAGCUUGUCACAAGUGAUGACUCCAUCUCUCGGCAUCAGUUCUCUGUAUCAGUUACUUUCUCCUCAUUGCUGGGAUGAAAUACCUAACAACAGCAACUUAAGGAUGUGUCCUGGAUCGUGGUUUGAGGGAACUCAGUCCACCACGGCCAGGAAGGCGUGGUAAUAGAAAUAUAAGGAAGUCGGUCAUACUGCAACCCCAGGCAUGAAGCAGAGUCGGAGCCAACCAAAGAAUAGGCUCUGUCCACUGGUGUAUCUCUUAAAUCUGAACAAAUCAUUUAUCGUUGCCUAUGACUUUGAUCGCUUUCAAGAACAUAGGUAUGUUGUUUUGUACAUUGUCUCUCAGUUUAGGCUCUCUCUCUCUCUCUCUCUCUCUCUCUCUCUCUCUCUCUGUGUGUGUGUGUGUGUGUGUGUGUGUGUGUGUGUGUGUGUGUGUGUGUGUGUGUUGAAGUAAGAGGACAACUUGCAAGCAUCGUUUCCUUCCUUUCACCGAGUGAGUUCCUGACCUUGAACCUAACUUGUCAAAUGUCCUGGUAAGUGCCUUUACCCACUGGGUCAUUUCUCCAGCCCGAUCCUGGGUUGUUUCACAGAGUACUCUGGAAGGUUUGUGAGGUUCUUUACUGAGCAAUUUCUGGGUGUCAGCUGAGGCUUCCUGCAUCUGAAUUGGUGUGAGGCCUAGCACUCUGCCAUACACAGGGACUCUGUCCUUCAUGUGCACUGUGUGCAGGCUCGAAGGCUUCUUCUGCUGCCAGUACUUAUGGUUCUCACAUGCUUUGGGCUGGCAUUGCCCAGCAUAGUCUGGCUGAGCUCUGUAGAUCUACUCUGUUGACCCUGUAGCCCAGUAAGUCAGUACAGAUACACCUCCAGAGGAGCAGGCAGAGAGACAGAGCUGGCUUCAGAGACUCCUGUAUAAAAGCCCUGGAGACCAUGCUCGAGCUUUACUGACCACUGCCCUGCCUUAACCCUGCAUAGACCUAGCUCUUUGCCUUGUGCCCUGACCCUUCUUUGCCUAUGACAGUCACUGUGGUGUAGCAAAAGACCAGGGCUCAGCUGCACAGACCCAAUUGCAGCUGUGUGCUCUUGGGAGCAUUGCUUUACCUCCGUGGGCCUGAGAAUUCUCACCAACUAGUAGAAACCAGAAGCUGAGCUUUUUUGCUGGUUUGUGGUAGGAAUCACUCAAGGAGACAGUGCUGGGUAUGUAUGUAUGUAGCAGGCAUUCAGGGAAAAUGAUUCCUUUCCUUACUUCUUCUGUCCUGAACUCUGCAUCACCGAUGAGUGGGAGUCUUGGCCAGAGGGAGGCCUUGACAUCAGCAUCCUGGGAUCACCAGCAUCUGAGACAGUCCAUAUGGCCCUGGCACUUUGUCAAGUACAGCAGAGAUAUAAAGGGCUUGGAGUGAAGGAGCUGGAGACUGGACAGUAGGAAGCCGACACGCUGGAAGAAGGUAUCUUAACAGGACAGCCAAAUAGACCUGCCUUGGAUGGUCUCAGCCCAUCUCAUACACUUAGUACCCUUCCAUCUGCCUCUGGUCUCCUGCAUGAAGGAUUUAUAUUUGAAAUGGGAACAAGUAGUCACAACCAUGAGAAGACCCAUGAAGGAAGGACUAUUCUCUUCCCAGACUGGUUUAAUUGACAGAGGAGAAGGAGGAAGUGGGACGAGACAGAGAGCACAGCGUGCCUACAACCAGUGGACCCUGGAUGAAGCAAAGACAGGAAUCCAGCUCAGCUCUUCUUGCAACAUCUCUACAAAGUCGCGCUUUUCUAAAUAUGAUUUUAAAAUUAAAAUUCUAAAGAAUGCAUUGA